GAGUAAUAUUGUUCUGUGCGAUCGUGUCUAUGACUCUUUGGCAAAAGUUUUUUCAAUUUUCCUAUCGUACCUAACUUGAAACUAUCAAGAUCAACUACCACCACGGAUUGAGAUGUCUCGAAUCUCAGCAUUUGCCACUGGUGCACCACAUUUUGUUAUUAGAGAAAAGACUGCUAUGGAAAAUACUCUACUGACUGUUAGACAAAACGACGUUUUAUCUGCGACUUAAUA